UACGUAGGUGGCAAGCGUUGUCCGGAUUUACUGGGCGUAAAGGGCGUGCAGGCGGUUUGUUAAGUUCAGGGUGAAAGCUCCCGGCUCAACUGGGAGAGGUCCUUGGAUACUGGCAGACUUGAGGAGGGUAGAGGAGAGUGGAAUUCCCGGUGUAGUGGUGAUAUGCGUAGAUAUCGGGAGGAACACCAGUGGCGAAGGCGGCUCUCUGGGCCCUACCUGACGCUGAGACGCGAAAGCGUGGGGAGCGAA
rnacentral:rRNA from 1 species